CCACAGCCAUCAGGACCGUCCUCCUUCCCUUUCCUCCACUCUGCUUGGUUAUGUAAUGCACCGUCGUUCCCGGUGCCUAACUGCUGGAGACCUAGCGGAAGGCUGCCGUCUCUGGUGAUUCCUUCCUGCACAUCUACUGAGACAAGAGACUCGGGCUGCACUCGCUUCUCUGCAGACGGCUAGAUCUUGGAUUUUCCUCUCUCCUCUGGAAUAUUCCUCAGCAGACUCAAUCCGUGGACCUGUCUGUUCUCCCCUGUGCUGGCUGCCAGCGACACGCCACCAGCUCACCCGACAGACAUGGUGCAAAGCGCUGGCACAGGGGCUUCACAUUCCAAUGACACCCCCAGAAAUGAAGGCAGCAGCAGCAUCAAGCUGAGUAUGUGCGGGUUUAUGGAGACCCUGUGGAAGAAGGGAGCGGGUUUCUGUGGCAGAGUUUAGGCAGAGCAAGGUAGCCGAACUCAGAAGACUGAGCAGACAAAGAAAGAUGAGCAGAGUAUGUGAGGGGCUGAGAUGGAGUAGGUGAGACCCCUGCUGCCAGAGUCUCAGCCUGCUGACUGGAACUCCACAGAGACUAGUGAGGGUGAAGGAGCAGAGAGGAAGGUGGGGGGCGAAGGGGUUUUGCAGCUGGUGCUGAGGAACAUGGGAAUUUGUCGUGGAUCCGUUUCUGUUUCUGCCUCCUCUCCCCCGUCACCGAGGCGAUAACAACACACACCCAGUCGCUCCCUGUUUACCCCUCUGUCGCUGCCUGGAGCAGCUUCACACAAACAUCUCUUCUCUGAGGUCCCAAACAGCAUGCCGGAUGAUGCUUUGUACGUGAAACGCCUUAAGGUCAGGUGAGCUACAGGACCAUGGGCACUACCGUCAUCACGCUGGACGAUGUGCGGGCGCUGGAGGCCAAGGAGGAGCAGGAGGAGUCCAUCUUGGCCAUGCUGGGCAUUGUUGGCACUUUCCUCAACCUCUUUGUGAUAGUUUUUGUUUACAUUUACACCACGGUGUGAGGAUGGAAUCCCAUGACUGGAUAACACUGAUCAAUGAUGAGACGUUAGGAAAAACUGCAGCCUGACAUGGACACCUGUCCCAGAUCAAGAUGGAGGAAACGACAGGAAGUGGCUGAAGAUGACAAAGAGGAAGCCAUAUUGCCACAUCAUAUGUUUGAGCUGGAGAGAUAACGAAGGGCUUAAAGGGAAUGCGAGACGAGUUACGUGAAGAAAGGGAGUCCCCCCGAAACAAACGCUUUCUGGCUACCGGCAUCUGGGACUGUUGGGCCAAUGAGGAUGACUCUGGUGCCAUGAUUCCACUGAACUCAGUUUAAUUCUACAGUCGUCUUCCUCUACAGCGCAGAGUGAAACCUGGAGGAGUGAUUGGUCAGGCCCACUCUACCAGCACCGCUCCUCACUUCCUGAACUCCCCGCACACACGCUCACACACACACACAAAACACAUGGCAUUCAGGAAAACUCCUGCUACACCUCUACAUCCUGAAGAAGAUGGAUUUCUAAAAUAUAAUAAUAAAAUAAACUACUGUUCUUGGGUUAAAAAAAAACAUUUCCAAGAUAUAAAAGUUCACACAUGGAGCUAUUUUUGUAAAAGGACAUCUUUACAGAGGGUAAGAAUUUAGGGGAAAGAUAAGAUUGUGAUAAAAAAAAGUAACUUACGUAUUAAAAUACGAGCAAACUUAUGCUGUAUUUUUGUUCAUAUUCAUAAAAGAUGAAGGAUGUGUCCAGAAACCCUUACAGAAAAGAGGUUUUUUUUUUUCCUUCUACUUUUUAAGAGUCAGUUUCUGUAACUUUUUCUCCAUUUUACCAAUGCUGUUUUUAUGACUACCUGAAUAAAGUCGACAUGUACACAUC